rnacentral:rRNA from 1 species
GUGGGGAAUUUUGGACAAUGGGCGCAAGCCUGAUCCAGCCAUGCCGCGUGCAGGAUGAAGGCCUUCGGGUUGUAAACUGCUUUUGUACGGAACGAAAAGACUCUGGUUAAUACCUGGGGUCCAUGACGGUACCGUAAGAAUAAGCACCGGCUAACUACGUGCCAGCAGCCGCGGUACUACGUAGGGUGCAAGCGUUAAUCGGAAUUACUGGGCGUAAAGCGUGCGCAGGCGGUUAUGUAAGACAGAUGUGAAAUCCCCGGGCUCAACCUGGGAACUGCAUUUGUGACUGCAUAGCUAGAGUACGGUAGAGGGGGAUGGAAUUCCGCGUGUAGCAGUGAAAUGCGUAGAUAUGCGGAGGAACACCGAUGGCGAAGGCAAUCCCCUGGACCUGUACUGACGCUCAUGCACGAAAGCGUGGGGAGCAAACAGGAUUAGAAACCCUGGUAGUCC